AAAUGGCUCUGAUCUUGAAAAGUUCUUGGUUUGCAAAUAUUGUAUGUUGUUAGUGGGCAUGUGCAGGUUGUGCUGUCGAAUCCAGUGGACGAUAAAUGCCCAUUCAUGGCAAUGAAAGCAAAGGUGACUCCUUCACAGAGAGCGAGAGACAAGCCCCAUGAGCCAUGGGUUUACUUGGAGAAAAACAGUGGCACAGUUUACUGUGCACAUUGUACCUGUAUGGCCGGCUUAGGUGAAGUGUGCAGCCAUGUUGGAGCACUCUUGUUUAAGAUUGAGAUGGGUGUCAAGAUGGGUAUGACUCAAACCAGCUCAACUAGUCAGGCCUGUCAGUGGAAUAGUACUUUCCGAAAAGAGGUAAUUUGAGCAGAAACUUUCAGGGUUGGAUAUUUUAUAUUUGACUGAUUGCCCGAGGGCUGCAAUGUAUCUGAAAUGUUAUAGCCUAGCAACAUGUUAUGCUAAUCUAAAUUUUAAAGAUAUUCAAAUUCAUAGAGCACUCUUUUACCAUAAACUAUAGCAUAUGAUAGCCCACUGGGCUUACAACCUUUACAUUAGUGUUUGCUGGGUCAUAUAUCUGGUAGGUCCCAGGCAUUUUACAAACUAUGUUGUUAAGGUAUAUUGUAGUAUUUGGUUAAAAUAUAGUAGUUUGUUUUCUUUGAUAUUGGAUUUACAAUGUAUUCCUCAUGUCUUUGUGGGUCAUUUA